rnacentral:rRNA from 1 species
CAGUAGCCACGGUAAUACGGAGGGUGCAAGCGUUAAUCGGAAUUACUGGGCGUAAAGCGCACGCAGGCGGUUAGUUAAGUCAGAUGUGAAAUCCCCGAGCUUAACUUGGGAACUGCAUUUGAAACUGGCAAGCUAGAGUCUUGUAGAGGGGGGUAGAAUUCCAGGUGUAGCUGUGAAAUGCGUAGAGAUCUGGAGGAAUACCGGUGGCGAAGGCGGCCCCCUGGACAAAGACUGACGCUCAGGUGCGAAAGCGUGGGGAGCAAACAGGAUUAGAUACCCCUGUAGUCCCUGUCUCUUAUAU